rnacentral:rRNA from 1 species
CCUACGGGUGGCAGCAGUGAGGAAUAUUGGUCAAUGGCCGUAAGGCUGAACCAGCCAAGUCGCGUGAAGGAAGAAGGAUCUCUGGUUUGUAAACUUCUUUUAUAGGGGAAUAAAGGUAUCCACGUGUGGAUAUUUGCAUGUACCCUAUGUAUAAGCAUCGGCUAACUCCGUGCCAGCACCCGCGGUAAUACGGAGGAUGCGAGCGUUGUCCGGAUUUAUUGGGUUUAACGGGAGCGUAGGUUGUUUUUUAAGUCAGCGGUGAAAGUUUGUGGCUCAACCAUAAAAUUGCCGUUGAAACUGGAAGACUUGAGUGUAUUAGAGGUAGGCGGAAUGCGUGGUGUAGCGGUGAAAUGCAUAGAUAUAACGAAGAACUCCGAUUGCGAAGGCAGCUUACUAGGCCAUAACUGACACUGAAGCACGAAAGCGUGGGGAGCAAACAGGAUUAGAUACCCUAGUAGUC